rnacentral:lncRNA from 1 species
GAAAUCUAUCAAAAAGAAGAUGCAGAAAGAGAAAGAAGGAAACGUAUAUAGCAAAGGAAAGAGAAAAAAAAUAAAAGAGAGAGAGAAAGGAGAGAAUCAUGAGCGAGAGUGAGAAAGCAAACAUGAGAAAGGGAGGGUGAUUCACUAAAAUCUGUGAUGGAGUGACGAAGAAGAAACGACAGUGCACAAUCGUGUUGAAAAUACAAUCUAUUAGAGAUGGUGGUGAAGGUUACGGUUCCUCUUCUUUCUUUAUCUUUUUCUUUGUUCUGUUUUUUUGUUGUUGAAUAUUCUAAUCGAAAGAGUUUUUUCGAUGAACUACGAAAAUGACUUUGAUUUUUAUGUUUUAUUUUUUUGGGUUUUUGUUUUCAUGGCGGAAUAUAUUUGUG